rnacentral:ncRNA from 2 species
UCUUCGCACUCUGGAGAGCGGCAGCGGCUUGCGUUUCACGCCAGCCAGUUGCCCACCGAAGGGGCGCGCGGGGACCGCAUUCCGGGUCCGCGCAAUCUCUCAGGUACCGAGGACAGAGGGGUCAUG